rnacentral:miRNA from 1 species
UUGCAUUUCCAAUCUGGCAA